rnacentral:rRNA from 1 species
AUUGAACGCUGGCGGCAGGCCUAACACAUGCAAGUCGAACGAGUGGCGGACGGGUGAGUACUGUCUGGGAAACUGCCUGAUGGAGGGGGAUAACUACUGGCAACGGUAGCUAAUACCGCAUACCAUCAGAUGUGCCCAGAUGGGAUUAGCUAGUAGGUGGGGUAAUGGCUCACCUAGGCGACGAUCCCUAGCUGGUCUGAGAGGAUGACCAGCCACCCUGGAACUGAGACACGGUCCAGACUCCUACGGGAGGCAGCAGUGGGGAAUAUUGCACAAUGGGCGAAAGCCUGAUGCAGCCAUGCCGCGUGUGUGAAGAAGGCCUUCGGGUUGUAAAGUACUUUCAGCGGGGAGGCGUUACUCGCAGAAGAAGCACCGGCUAACUCCGUGCCAGCAGCCGCGGUAAUUC